GAUGAAGAACGCAGCGAAAUGCGAUAAGUAGUGUGAAUUGCAGAAUUCAGUGAAUCAUCGAAUCUUUGAACGCACAUUGCGGCCAUAGGUAUUCCUUUGGCCAUGCCUGUUCGAGCGUCAUUUACACCCUCAAGCCUAGCUUGGUGUUGGGCGUCUGUCCCGCCGUUCUCGCGCGCGGACUCGCCUCAAAGUCAUUAGCGGCGGUCGUGCCGGCCCCCUCGCGCAGCACAUUUGCGCUUCUCGGAGGCCCGGCGGAUCCGCGCUCCAGCAAGACCUUUCACGACUUGACCUCGGAUCAGGUAGGGAUACCCGCUGAACUUAAGCAUAUCAAUAAGCGGAGGA
rnacentral:misc_RNA from 1 species